rnacentral:rRNA from 1 species
AUGCAGAAGUUGUUCAAGAUGUCUGAUCUGGGUCUGCUGAGUUUCUAUCUUGGAAUCGAAGUGAAGCAGGCAGAGGAUGGCAUCGUCAUUUCACAGAGAGCGUACGCACGGAAACUCCUGGAGAAGAGUGGCAUGGCUGGAUGCAAACCUUGUCACAUCCCCAUGGAGCCUCGUUUCAAGCUAUCAAAGGAGAGCACGGCGCCACCAGUGGAUGCGUCAGAGUACCGCAGCGUCGUCGGCAGCCUGCGCUAUCUGGUGCACACGCGCCCUGACCUGACCUUCUCGGUUGGGUACGUUUCGCGCUUCAUGGAGGCGCCAACUGAAGAGCACCGCACCGCCGUCAAGCACAUCUUGAGGUACAUCGCCGGCACUCUGCAUCUGGGCUGCAAGUAUGGCAGAGGAGAUGGUGAGCCUGAACUGACCGGUUACAGCGACAGUGACCUUGGCGGCGAUGUGGACACACGCAAGAGCACCUCCGGGACCCUGUUCUUGCUCGGAGGAGGAGUGAUAACCUGGCAGUCACAGAAGCAGAAGAUUGUGGCACUCUCCAGCUGCUAA